UAGCAUAUCAAUAAGCGGAGGAAAAGAAACCAACAGGGAUUGCCCCAGUAACGGCGAGUGAAGCGGCAACAGCUCAAAUUUGAAAUCUGGCCCCUCGGGCCCGAGUUGUAAUUUGUAGAGGAUGCUUUUGGCAAGGUGCCGCCCGAGUUCCCUGGAACGGGACGCCGCAGAGGGUGAGAGCCCCGUCUGGCUGGCCGCCGAGCCUCUGUAAAGCUCCUUCGACGAGUCGAGUAGUUUGGGAAUGCUGCUCAAAAUGGGAGGUAUAUGUCUUCUAAAGCUAAAUAUUGGCCAGAGACCGAUAGCGCACAAGUAGAGUGAUCGAAAGAUGAAAAGCACUUUGAAAAGAGGGUUAAACAGUACGUGAAAUUGUUGAAAGGGAAGCGCUCAUGACCAGACUUGGGCUUGGCGGAUCAUCCGGCGUUCUCGCCGGUGCACUUCGCCUCGCCCAGGCCAGCAUCAGUUCGCGCCGGGGGACAAAAGCUUCGGGAAUGUGGCUCCUCCGGGAGUGUUAUAGCCCGUUGCAUAAUACCCUGGGGCGGACUGAGGUUCGCGCAUCUGCAAGGAUGCUGGCGUAAUGGUCAUCAGCGACCCGUCUUGAAACACGGACCAAGGAGUCGUCUUCGUAUGCGAGUGUUCGGGUGUCAAACCCCUACGCGUAAUGAAAGUGAACGCAGGUGAGAGCUUCGGCGCAUCAUCGACCGAUCCUGAUGUUCUCGGAUGGAUUUGAGUAAGAGCAUACGGGGCCGGACCCGAAAGAAGGUGAACUAUGCCUGUAUAGGGUGAAGCCAGAGGAAACUCUGGUGGAGGCUCGCAGCGGUUCUGACGUGCAAAUCGAUCGUCAAAUAUGGGCAUGGGGGGCGAAAGACUAAUCGAACCUUCUAGUAGCUGGUUUCCGCCGAU
rnacentral:rRNA from 1 species